AAGUUUUAAGUAAUGUUUUACUCGUUGCUGCAAUAUUCAUCCUAGACGGCAACAAAAAAUGCAGUGUUUUCCUCUUCCAUUUCUGCAUGCAAAAGAGUUAAACAAGUGCCAUCUCUCCUGUGCAGAAUCGACGUUUGUAGCAUGUGGUGGUGCCAUUUCUCCUGCGACUAUGGUGAUGGAUUUCGUGCCGGUGGGAAGAGCAAAUGUUUAGAAGUAUCAUUUGAUGUCACUGGAGGUUGCAGAUUAAGCUGCAAGAUGAUGGGAGUCGGGUUCUGAUAUUUACCAGAACCUAGGAUACUCAUAUGGCUCACAUGAUCGUGCAACAUUUUUUGCAUUACCAUUUACCAGUGAAAUUAGCAGAACUAAGAAUGCUUCUAUAUCCAAGAGAAGGGCUUAGCAACC
rnacentral:lncRNA from 1 species